rnacentral:rRNA from 1 species
CCUACGGGAGGCAGCAGUGGGGAAUAUUGCGCAAUGGGGGAAACCCUGACGCAGCAACACCGCGUGCGGGAUGAAGGCUUUCGGGUUGUAAACCGCUUUCAGCAGGGAAGAUAAUGACGGUACCUGCAGAAUAAGCACCGGCUAACUACGUGCCAGCAGCCGCGGUAAUACGUAGGGGGCAAGCGUUAUCCGGAUUCAUUGGGCGUAAAGAGCGCGCAGGCGGGCCGCUAAGCCGGACCUCUAAUCUUGGGGCUAAACCUCAAGCCGGGUCCGGAACUGGCAGCCUCGAGUGCGGUAGGGGUAAGCGGAAUUCCUGGUGUAGCGGUAGAAUGCGUAGAGAUCGGGAAGAAUACUGAUGGCGAAGGCAGCCUGCUGGGCCGACACUGACGCUGAGGCGCGAAAGCUAGGGGAGCGAACAGGAUUAGAUACCCCGGUAGUC